CCUACGGGAGGCAGCAGUGAGGAAUAUUGGUCAAUGGGCUUACGCCUGAACCAGCCAAGUCGCGUGAGGGAAGACGGCCCUAUGGGUUGUAAACCUCUUUUGUCAGGGAGCAACGCCGGCUACGUGUAGCCGGACGGAGAGGACCUGAAGAAAAAGCAGCGGCGAACUCCGGGCCAGCAGCCGCGGUAAUACGGAGGAUGCGAGCGUUAUCCGGAUUUAUUGGGUUUCAAGGGUGCGUAGGCGGAAUGCCAAGUCAGCGGUAAAAUCGCGGGGCUCAACCUCGCUCCGCCGUUGAAACUGGCGUUCUUGAGUGGGCGAGAAGUAUGCGGAAUGCGUGGUGUAGCGGUGCAAUGCAUAGAUAUCACGCAGAACUCCGAUUGCGAAGGCAGCAUACCGGUGCCCAACUGACGCUGACGCACGAACGCGUGGGUAUCGAACCGGAUUAGAUACCCCUGUAGUC
rnacentral:rRNA from 1 species